GGUGCUCGAGUGGCGAACGGGUGAGUAACACGUGAGUAACCUGCCCUUGACUUUGGGAUAACUUCAGGAAACUGGGGCUAAUACCGGAUAGGAGCUCCUGCCGCAUGGUGGGGGUUGGAAAGUUUCGGCGGUUGGGGAUGGACUCGCGGCUUAUCAGCUUGUUGGUGGGGUAGUGGCUUACCAAGGCUUUGACGGGUAGCCGGCCUGAGAGGGUGACCGGCCACAUUGGGACUGAGAUACGGCCCAG
rnacentral:rRNA from 1 species